rnacentral:rRNA from 1 species
UACGUAGGGGGCAAGCGUUGUCCGGAUUUAUUGGGCGUAAAGAGCGCGCAGGCGGUCGUUCAAGUCGCGUGUGAAAGCCCCCGGCUCAACUGGGGAGGGUCACGCGAUACUGAUCGACUGGAAGGCAGGAGAGGGUAGUGGAAUUCCCGGUGUAGUGGUGAAAUGCGUAGAUAUCGUAAGGAAGACCAGUGGCGAAGGCGGGUCUCUGGACAGUUCCUGACGCUGAGGCACGAAGGUCAGGGGAGCAAACGGG